rnacentral:rRNA from 1 species
GAUGAACGCUGGCGGCGUGCUUAACACAUGCAAGUCGAACGGAAAGGCUCCUGCUUGCAGGGGUACUCGAGUGGCGAACGGGUGAGUAACACGUGGGUGAUCUGCCCUUCACUUCGGGAUAAGCCUUGGAAACUGGGUCUAAUACCGGAUAGGACGAUGGUUUGGAUGCCAUUGUGGAAAGUUUUUCGGUGUGGGAUGAGCUCGCGGCCUAUCAGCUUGUUGGUGGGGUAAUGGCCUACCAAGGCGUCGACGGGUAGCCGGCCUGAGAGGGUGUACGGCCACAUUGGGACUGAGAUACGGCCCAGACUCCUACGGGAGGCAGCAGUGGGGAAUAUUGCACAAUGGGCGCAAGCCUGAUGCAGCGACGCCGCGUGGGGGAUGACGGCCUUCGGGUUGUAAACUCCUUUCGCUAGGGACGAAGCGCAAGUGACGGUACCUGGAGAAGAAGCACCGGCUAACUACGUG